UAUAGUUGCGGGCCAGAGGCGGAGGUAGGACGUGUGGUGGGAGGGUGGGCAGGAAUUGCUGGGCGUAAAGAGCUCGUGGGCGGGUUGUGACGUCGGCGGUGAAAUCCUAGGGCUUAACCCUGGACGUGCAGGCGAUACGGGCUGACUUGAGUACUACAGGGGAGACUGGAAUUUCUGGUGUAGCGGUGGAAUGCACAGAUAUUAGGAAGAACACCGAUGGCGAAGGCAGGUCUCUGGGUAGUAACUGACGCUGAGGAGCGAAAGCAUGGGUAGCGAACAGGAUUAGAUACCCCUGUAGUC
rnacentral:rRNA from 1 species